GCGGGCGUCCGCCAACGGUCUCCGACGAGGCUGAGCGGUCUCCAAAACCGCAGGUCGGGGGUUCGAGUCCCUCCGCCCCUGCCA
rnacentral:tRNA from 1 species